rnacentral:tRNA from 1 species
CCGCCCAUAGCUCAAUUUGGCAGAGCAGUUGCCUCUUAAGCAAUUGGUCGCAGGUUCGAGUCCUGCUGGGCGGA